CUAGUUUCCUGCUUGUAGCAGGCCGUGUUAACAGGAAUCCUCUUCUCUAACUAGAAGUCAUGUGAUUUCAUGAGGAUGUUGUUCUGCAGUGAGAGUGUAAUGCAAGUCAAGGUGUCCUGGGAUGAAUGUCAACUGCUGUAAUUAUCUUUUUGUUGGUUAGCUUUUAAAGUGUUUGAUUGUCACAGACAUCAGAUUGGUUCUGUGAAAUGUGUUGUUUUACAGGGUCAGUCAUAGUAGUAUGAUAGGUGUUGUUUUACAGGGUCAGUCAUAGUAGUAUGAUAGGUGUUGUUGUACAGGGUCAGUCAUAGUAGUAUGAUAGGUGUUGUUUUACAGGGUCAGUCAUAGUAGUAUGAUAGGUGUUGUUUUACAGGGUCAGUCAUAGUAGUAUGAUAGGUGUUGUUUUACAGGGUCAGUCAUAGUAGUAUGAUAGGUGUUGUUUUACAGGGUCAUAGUAGUAUGAUAGGUGUUGUUUUACAGGGUCAGUCAUAGUAGUAUGAUAGGUGUUGUUGUACAGGGUCAGUCAUAGUAGUAUGAUAGGUGUUGUUUUACAGGGUCAGUCAUAGUAGUAUGAUAGGUGUUGUUUUACAGGGUCAGUCAUAGUAGUAUGAUAGGUGUUGUUUUACAGGGUCAGUCAUAGUAGUAUGACAGGUGUUGUUUUACAGGGUCUUCCCAUAGUAGUAUGAUAGGUGUUGUUUUACAGGGUCAGACAUAGUAGUAUGAUAGGUGUUGUUUUACAGGGUCAGUCAUAGUAGUAUGAUAGGUGUUGUUUUACAGGGUCAGUCAUAGUAGUAUGAUAGGUGUUGUUUUACAGGGUC